AUUCCAGCUCCAAUAGCGUAUAUUAAAGUUGUUGUGGUUAAAAAGCUCGUAGUUGAACCUUGGGCCUGGCUGGCCGGUCCGCCUCACCGCGUGUACUGGUCCGGCCGGGCCUUUCCCUCUGUGGAACCCCAUGCCCUUCACCGGAUGUGGCGGGGAAACAGGACUUUUACUGUGAAAAAAUUAGAGUGCUCCAGGCAGGCCUAUGCUCGAAUACAUUAGCAUGGAAUAAUAGAAUAGGACGUGUGGUUCUAUUUUGUUGGUGUCUAGGACCGCCGUAAUGAUUAAUAGGGACAGUCGGGGACAUCAGUAUUCAAUUGUCAGAGGUGAAAUUCUUGGACCUAUUGAAGACUAACUACUGCGAAAGCAUUUGCCAAGGAUGUUUUCAUUAAUCAGGAACGAAAGUUAGGGGAUCGAAGACGAUCAGAUACCGUCGUAGUCUUAACCAUAAACUAUGCCGACUAGGGAUCGGACGGUGUUAUUUUUUGACCCGUUCGGCACCUUACGAGAAAUCAAAGUGCUGGCUCCAGGCAGU
rnacentral:rRNA from 1 species